rnacentral:rRNA from 1 species
GACGAACGCUGGCGGCGUGCUUAACACAUGCAAGUCGAACGGAAAGGCCCUGCUUUUGUGGGGUGCUCGAGUGGCGAACGGGUGAGUAACACGUGAGUAACCUGCCCCUGACUUUGGGAUAACUUCAGGAAACUGGGGCUAAUACCGGAUAGGAGCUCCUGCUGCAUGGUGGGGGUUGGAAAGUUUCGGCGGUUGGGGAUGGACUCGCGGCUUAUCAGCUUGUUGGUGGGGUAGUGGCUUACCAAGGCUUUGACGGGUAGCCGGCCUGAGAGGGUGACCGGCCACAUUGGGACUGAGAUACGGCCCAGACUCCUACGGGAGGCAGCAGUGGGGAAUAUUGCACAAUGGGCGGAAGCCUGAUGCAGCAACGCCGCGUGCGGGAUGACGGCCUUCGGGUUGUAAACCGCUUUCGCCUGUGACGAAGCGUGAGUGACGAUAAUGGGUAAAGAAGCACCGGCUAACUACGUG